ensembl:miRNA
UACAGGACAUGUGUGAAAAGGGGCUUUGUACUAUCCUUGACACACUGCCACUCCUGUAGGC